GCCCGCGUGGCCCAGUGGUAAGGCGUGUCCCUCCUAAGGACGAGAUCGCGAGUUCGACCCUCGUCGCGGGUG